ACUAUUCCAGUUACCCCUUCUACUAUGCCUAGAUAUCAUAUUAUGUAUAAGUAUCUAUUAGCGCUACUAUGUUCUUGGUGGUACUCCAGAAUUAACUUGAUGCUCAUAGUUAUUUGUUAUACUUCAAUCACUGGCAUAUAGUAUAGGCAUUAUCAUGCACUUGUUGGGUGGUUGAGCAUUACUAGGACGCAUGUAACACUUCUAAAAUGGAUCAACUGAUGUAAUAUGUCAUUCCUUUCUAUUCAAGGAGCUUGUCUGCUUGAAUAACUACUUUAUGCUUUUUUUACAUCUACAGUCUCUUCUUCAAGCAAGAGAUGGAGCUUUCUUUGGUCGGGCUCCAAAAUGCUAGGAAAACAUCACUUGCAGCAGCUCGCAGCGACACCCCCGCCUCCUCAUCAUGGAAGCUACAAGAACACUUUGAGUAGGUGAAGAGGAUUUGCGACACUACCACAUUGUCUUUGGCCAAGCAUCAUCUCAGUGAUAAGAUAACAAGCCAACUGGAUAUUUCAAAAUUGAGUGACAAGCUACAGUAAGGGAAGGUAGACUCAAGUGCAUUGACACCAAAGGAGAAGUAUGAAACUUGGAAGGAGAUUAAAAUUAUGAGUUUCAGAAAAAUAGUUUCUCCAAUGUGGGCAAUGACAUUGCUUAGCUUGUAUGUUAGAGUUCAUGUCACCAUAUUAGGUAGCCAUCUCUACUUGGAUUU